CAGAACAUAGACAGUAAAACAGCAGAACGAUAGUGAGCUGAAGCCAUAUUUAGAUUUUCCACACUGAGAAGAAAAGUUAAAAAUAACAUUGAAGAGCUAGUUAAAAGGGGCUUUUCCACCAAACCUACUUCUAAGGAAGGAAUAACAGCAAAGGGUCGAAAUUACGACAAGGAGUUUACUUACUUGUAUGAGUUUUCUCCGGUUGUUUUUUUGUUUGGAUGCAUGCUUUGAGAGAGCAUUGGACAAAUUCGCCAUUGGACACGGGAGGCAGAAGAGCAGAGGGCGCGAAUGAUCAUCUUGCCUGCGACAUGAACUGCUUCUACUCAAUAUUUCUUCAUUUCAUCGUAGCCUACAGAUAAGCGCGAGAUCUCACCACUUAAAAAAAAAACAUACUACCCAGGUAGAUGGACUUUGGUUUAUUAUUUUGGGGUUAUUUUAUCAGAGCUCUGAGGUCAUUUUACUUUAUAUUUUUCUCAACUUGUGUGAAAAGGUUGAAAACUAAGAGAAAUACUGAUUUUUCACAACUAAAAGGACAGAAAAGAGAAACAAGGUCAUACUGUUUGAUGUUUAAUAAAUGCGGGCUAUAUGUUCUGGGUAAACUAUUUUGGUACUUUCAUUUGUCUACUCCUCUUGUGAAAAGUUCCUUAGAAAUGCAGAACUUUACUCUACAUUAAAAUAAGUGCCCCUUACACAGACAAAUAUGGCGUCUCACGGGAAAUCGAACCCCUCAGUCCCUCAAAACACACCUUAAAAUGAUUGAAUGGUACUACUGGUUAGGAAUCCGUCGUCGUAAUGGUUUGUUGGGUAGACUCGUGCAUGAUUUGAAAAAGCUGCAGAAAUGAUGGCAAUGAAAUGGUGCUUAAAGACUAGUAUGUGAAUAGUUGAAUGCAUGUUCCACAUGCACAGUUAGGUUAGCUGGCAUGGUAACAUGUCCAUGUGUUAUGGUUUUGCAAAAUGCAUUGCUGAAAUAAACUCAUAAGUCAUGA